AGAACCUGAAACCGUGUACGUACAAGCAGUAGGAGCACCUUCGUGGUGUGACUGCGUACCUUUUGUAUAAUGGGUCAGCGACUUAUAUUCAGUGGCAAGGUUAACCGUAUAGGGGAGCCGUAGCGAAAGCGAGUCUUAACUGGGCGCUCAGUCUCUGGAUAUAGACCCGAAACCGGGUGAUCUAGCCAUGGGCAGGUUGAAGGUUGAGUAACAUCAACUGGAGGACCGAACCGACUAAUGUUGAAAAAUUAGCGGAUGACUUGUGGCUAGGGGUGAAAGGCCAAUCAAACUCGGAGAUAGCUGGUUCUCCCCGAAAGCUAUUUAGGUAGCGCCUCGGACGAAUACUACUGGGGGUAGAGCACUGUUAAGGCUAGGGGGUCAUCCCGACUUACCAACCCUUUGCAAACUCCGAAUACCAGUAAGUACUAUCCGGGAGACACACGGCGGGUGCUAACGUCCGUCGUGGAGAGGGAAACAACCCAGACCGCCAGCUAAGGUCCCAAAGUAUUGCUAAGUGGGAAACGAUGUGGGAAGGCUCAGACAGCUAGGAUGUUGGCUUAGAAGCAGCCAUCAUUUAAAGAAAGCGUAAUAGCUCACUAGUCGAGUCGGCCUGCGCGGAAGAUGUAACGGGGCUAAGCAAUACACCGAAGCUGCGGCAAU
rnacentral:rRNA from 1 species